rnacentral:rRNA from 1 species
GACGAACGCUGGCGGCGUGCCUAAUACAUGCAAGUAGAACGCACAGUUUAUACCGUAGCUUGCUACACCAUAGACUGUGAGUUGCGAACGGGUGAGUAACGCGUAGGUAACCUGCCUGGUAGCGGGGGAUAACUAUUGGAAACGCUAGCUAAUACCGCAUAAUAUUAAUUAUUGCAUGAUAAUUAAUUGAAAGGUGCAAUUGCACCACUACCAGAUGGACCUGCGUUGUAUUAGCUAGUAGGUGAGGUAACGGCUCACCUAGGCGACGAUACAUAGCCGACCUGAGAGGGCGAUCGGCCACACUGGGACUGAGACACGGCCCAGACUCCUACGGGAGGCAGCAGUAGGGAAUCUUCGGCAAUGGACGAAAGUCAGACCGAGCAACGCCGCGUGAGUGAAGAAGGAUUUCGGAUCGUAAAGCUCUGUUGUAAGAGAAGAACGGGUGUGAGAGUGGAAAGUUCACACUGUGACGGUAUCUUACAAGAAAGGGACGGCUAACUACGUG